rnacentral:rRNA from 1 species
AACAAGGAUUCCCCUAGUAACGGCGAGUGAAGAGGGAAGAGCUCAAAUUUGAAAGCUGGUACCUUCGGUAUCCGCGUUGUAACCUCGAGACACGUUUUCCGUGCGGCGCUAUGGACAAGUUCCUUGGAACAGGACAUCGUAGAGGGUGAAAAUCCCGUACUUGCCAUGGAUGUACCGUGCUUUGCGAUACGUGCUCUAAGAGUCGAGUUGUUUGGGAUUGCAGCUCAAAAUGGGUGGUAGACUCCAUCUAAAGCUAAAUAUCGGGGAGAGACCGAUAGCGAACAAGUACCGUGAGGGAAAGAUGAAAAGCACUUUGGAAAGAGAGUUAAAAGUACGUGAAAUUGUCGAAAGGGAAGCGCUUGAAGUCAGCCAUGCCGCUCAGGACUCAGCCUGGCUUUUGCUUGGUGUAUUUCCUGGGUAGCAAGUCAGCAUUGGUUUGGAUCGUCGGAGAAGCAUAGUCGGAAUGUGGCGCCCUCGGGCGUGUUAUAGCCUUCUAUUGGA